AUUGAACGCUGGCGGCAGGCCUAACACAUGCAAGUCGAGCGGAUGAAGGGAGCUUGCUCCUGGAUUCAGCGGCGGACGGGUGAGUAAUGCCUAGGAAUCUGCCUGGUAGUGGGGGAUAACGUCCGGAAAUGGGCGCUAAUACCGCAUACGUCCUGAGGGUGAAAGUUGGGGAUCUUCGGACCUCACGCUAUCAUAUGAGCCUAGGUCGGAUUAGCUAGUUGGUGUGGUAAAGGCCUACCAAGGCCACGAUCCGUAACUGGUCUGAGAGGAUGAUCAGUCACACUGGAAGUGAGACACGGUACAGAGUCCUAAGGGAGGCAGCAGUGGGGAAUAUUGGACAAUGGGGGAAAGCAUGAUCCAGCAAUGCCGCGUGUGUGAAGAAGGUCUUCGGAUUGUAAAGCACUUUAAGUUGGGAGGAAGGGAAGUAAGUUAAUACCUUGAUGUAUUGACGUUACCAAAAGAAUAAGCACCGGCUAACUACGUG
rnacentral:rRNA from 1 species